GAGUUUGAUCCUGGCUCAGGAUGAACGCUGGCGGCGUGCUUAACACAUGCAAGUCGAACGGGAAUGCCACGCUGAUGCGAUUUCGGUCAAAUCAUGUGGCAUUCGAGUGGCGGACGGGUGAGUAACGCGUGGGUAACCUGCCUUACACAGGGGGAUAACACCUGGAAACAGGUGCUAAUACCGCAUAAGCGCACAGGGCCGCAUGGCCCGGUGUGAAAAACUCCGGUGGUGUAAGAUGGACCCGCGUCUGAUUAGCUUGUUGGCGGGGUAGGGGCCCACCAAGGCGACGAUCAGUAGCCGGCCUGAGAGGGUGGACGGCCACAUUGGGACUGAGACACGGCCCAAACUCCUACGGGAGGCAGCAGUGGGGGAUAUUGGACAAUGGGGGAAACCCUGAUCCAGCGACGCCGCGUGAGUGAAGAAGUAUUUCGGUAUGUAAAGCUCUGUCAGCAGGGAAGAAAGAAAUGACGGUACCUGACCAAGAAGCCCCGGCUAACUACGUG
rnacentral:rRNA from 1 species